AAGUCGUAACAAGGUUUCCGUAGGUGAACCUGCGGAAGGAUCAUUAAAAAAUAUAGAAUUAAUUUUCUAUAAACCCAAUCUGUGUACUUGUACUUGUUGCUUCCGUGAGCCGACGAACGCAAGUUCGGCCAAUGGUGUCAUUCCACGGAAUGGCUUUACCAUUGAGUGCUCACGGAAGGUCUUCAUAAACUCUGUUUUUUUUGAACUCAGUCUGAAUAUUGUUUAUAAUUAAACUUUAAAACUUUCAACAACGGAUCUCUUGGUUCUC
rnacentral:misc_RNA from 1 species